rnacentral:rRNA from 1 species
GACGAACGCUGGCGGCGUGCUUAACACAUGCAAGUCGAACGGAAAGGCCCUGCUUUUGUGGGGUGCUCGAGUGGCGAACGGGUGAGUAACACGUGAGUAACCUGCCCUUGACUUUGGGAUAACUUCAGGAAACUGGGGCUAAUACCGGAUAGGAGCUCCUGCUGCAUGGUGGGGGUUGGAAAGUUUCGGCGGUUGGGGAUGGACUCGCGGCUUAUCAGCUUGUUGGUGGGGUAGUGGCUUACCAAGGCUUUGACGGGUAGCCGGCCUGAGAGGGUGACCGGCCACAUUGGGACUGAGGUACGGCCCAGACUCCUACGGGAGGCAGCAGUGGAGAAUAUUGCACAAUGGGCGGAAGCCUGAUGCAGCAACGCCGCGUGCGGGAUGACGGCCUUCUGGUUGUAAACCGCUUUCGCCUGUGACGAAGCGUGAGUGACGGUAAUGGGUAAAGAAGCACCGGCUAACUACGUG